rnacentral:rRNA from 1 species
UACGUAGGGUGCAAGCGUUAAUCGGAAUUACUGGGCGUAAAGCGUGCGCAGGCGGCUUUGCAAGACAGAUGUGAAAUCCCCGGGCUCAACCUGGGAACUGCAUUUGUGACUGCAUCGCUGGAGUACGGCAGAGGGGGGUGGAAUUCCACGUGUAGCAGUGAAAUGCGUAGAGAUGUGGAGGAACACCGAUGGCGAAGGCAGCCCCUGGGUUAACACUGACGCUCAGGCACGAAAGCGUGGGGAGCAAACAGG